rnacentral:tRNA from 1 species
GGGCCGCUAGCUCAACAGGUAGAGCAGGGCACUCUUAAUGCUCAGGUUCAGAGUUCGAGUCUCUGGCGGCUCA